CUGCAGUUUGUCUUUGGUGCUGCUGGCUGCGGAAACUGCAUGUUCACAAGUGCCAUUAGCCGGUGCGUUCUCCACUGGACCUACAGCCUUGGAAGUGUCCAGCGAUGCCGCUUCACCUGGAUUAGAGUCGCUGCAUUCCUGCCGGCACGACCAGCUUCAAGGUUUCCUGCCUUAUCUUGCUCUACCUCAACUCGUGGCAGCUGCAGGAACAUCUACAGCCACACUUACGGGUGACGUGCAAGAGGCGCUCCUGAUCGCACUCGCUGGUGGUUGAUAUAGACAUCGAGGCAAAGGCCGAAGAUAUAAAUCUUUACCUAACUAGUGAAUGCCUCAAAAUCACCUCUCUGUGGACUUGAGGCAGCUUUUUCCAGUCAUGUAACAUAAGCCGCAAUCCUAGAAUCUGUGUGUUUCGACCACGAAAGUUUAGCCGUGAUUCACAAUAUUCAUUUUGACGUGAUAAUUCUGAGAAGCGUUAUACAUUAUUUUAGGCCUGCAUGACAUUAGCAACUUGUAAUAGCUUAAUUUAGUUCAUUCAUUGUGCCAGCAUGAGUAGCGGUUUUCUGAACGUACUAGCGACCUUUUUUGAAAAACGAUUCUAGCCGCACAUUGUCCAACAGUAUGGAGGAAGAAAAGUGAAGUCCAACGCAGUUCAAACAUGAUUUUACCACCAGCCUCUCGUGAACCGUAGGUAGCUUUGUAGGCAUAACACAUUGUAUUCGUUUCAUUGUUUGCCCACAUGUUGAGAGAUGUACGAUGUCCUGAAUAGAGUGAGCUGUAAAGCUGAAAAGAAAAUGUUCCCACGUUAGACAACUUCGUAGGAAAAAUAGUGGGCAAGUAACUCCGGGAAAUGAUAAUAAAUAAAGCAGUCAGUUGCGCUUUCUUCAUUCAUAAGAUGGAAUGUUUUAUUGAAGACUAUGACUCCUCUUCCGUCGUUGCAGACUUUUUUCAAAUAAACACUGAUUCAGGGGAAAA